rnacentral:rRNA from 1 species
UGAGGGAUAUUGGUCAAUGGGGGAAACCCGUGAACCAGCAACGCCGCGUGAGGGAAGACGGUUUUCGGAUUGUAAACCUCUGUCCUCUGUGAAGAUAAUGACGGUAGCAGAGGAGGAAGCUCCGGCUAACUACGUGCC